rnacentral:lncRNA from 1 species
CGGUCUUUGUUUGAGGAGCUCUUCCAGCCCUUGAUUGACAAAUUGGGGGAUGGGUAUGGUGGAGAUCGAGGAGGAGUUUCCGACGAGGAGGAAUUGCAGGCCAGUUCUUGGAACCAUGUUGAGCCUGAGAGGCCUCCUCCGCCCAGGAGGGAAGACCCAGUGCCCAUGAGGAUUGACAAGAAGACCGAGCCGGUUCGGCCUCCUCCGGCUCCAACCCCAGCUCCAGUGCCUGCCCCACUGAGCUCAUCAAAUCCGCC